AUGUGAAGAACGUGGUAUGGCCGUGGGUCCCAGUAUUUGCUUCCCAGAGCACCUGCAAUCCUCGUCCUUCUUCAGCGCCUAUCCGCUGUGGUAGCUUCAGAGACAGGAGAUUCGUCCCUCGUCGUCUACUUGCAUCAGCACGAUUAACCCACGCAUUACCCCAUCAGAGCCCUUCUCCCAUCCGCUGCCCUGAUUCCAGUGAGCAGCCUCCAUUGGCACUGUAACGGAGUUCUCGUAAUGAGGAAGCAGGGACUGUAAAUAUACGUUGGGUGUGGUGAUGACGCACUCGAGCUGAGUUAUUGCAAAGUCUGAUACCCUCUCUGCGCCUCAGUCUGACUGUCACGACGUCGCGUCCUGCUGCCCAUCAUUACGCUUUCUGCUCUGGGCCGCCUUCCGUCCUCCAUUAUUUCUGUGUUGCCGUUGCUUCAGGGGAGCUGAAAACGUUUCGCCGUGACCGAAGGGCUUCACCUCACCUGGCCUCAUCUCUCCCAUCCGGGGGUAGGCGGAAUAGCAUGACGCCAGGUGUACGAUGAGCUCAGUUGACGCCACUCGCCCUGAUGGACCGUUUGAUGAGGGUUGGACCCUAACGUCUGGUUGGGCUGCAUAUCAUUCAUCCAACUCUGGCACCAAGCCACUGAGGCCCUGGUACACUCAGGUCAUUCCUGAAGUUCAGCUGUUGCAACUUCUAAUUCAAUGUUUGAAUGUACAUGACUCAUAAGGAUACAUCAAUUUCCUCAAAUACUGUUAUGAUCGGCAA